GUAGACCCGAAACCAGGUGAUCUACCCAUGUCCAGGAUGAAGGUAAGGUAAUACUUACUGGAGGUCCGAACCCACGCACGUUGAAAAGUGCGGGGAUGAGGUGUGGGUAGCGGAGAAAUUCCAAUCGAACUUGGAGAUAGCUGGUUCUCUCCGAAAUAGCUUUAGGGCUAGCCUCGAGGUAAAGAGUCAUGGAGGUAGAGCACUGUUUGGACUAGGGGCCCUUCUCGGGUUACCGAAUUCAGAUAAACUCCGAAUGCCAUGUACUUAUACUCGGGAGUCAGACUGCGAGUGAUAAGAUCCGUAGUCGAAAGGGAAACAGCCCAGACCACCAGUUAAGGUCCCCAAAUAUAUGUUAAGUGGAAAAGGAUGUGGGGUUGCUUAGACAACCAGGAUGUUGGCUUAGAAGCAGCCACCAUUGAAAGAGUGCGUAAUAGCUCACUGGUCGAGUGACCCCGCGCCGAAAAUGUACCGGGGCUAAACAUAUUACCGAAACUGUGGAUGAACCUCUUCGGAGGUUCGUGGUAGGAGAGCGUUCUAAGGGCGGUGAAGUCAGACCGGAAGGACUGGUGGAGCGCUUAGAAGUGAGAAUGCCGGUAUGAGUAGCGAAAGAAGGGUGAGAAUCCCUUCCACCGAAUAUCUAAGGUUUCCUGAGGAAGGCUCGUCCGCUCAGGGUUAGUCGGGACCUAAGCCGAGGCCGAUAGGCGUAGGCGAUGGACAACAGGUAGAGAUUCCUGUACCAGUGCUAAUUGUUUAACCGAUGGGGUGACACAGAAGGAUAGGGAAUCGCACGAAUGGAAAUGUGCGUCCAAGCAGUGAGUGUGAGAAGUAGGCAAAUCCGCUUCUCGCGAAGCAUGAGCUGUGAUGGGGAAGGAAAUUAAGUACGGAAGUUCCUGAUUUCACGCUGUCAAGAAAAGCCUCUAGGAAGAGUAGUACUGCCCGUACCGCAAACCGACACAGGUAGAUGAGGAGAGAAUCCUAAGGUGAGCGAGAGAACUCUCGUUAAGGAACUCGGCAAAAUGACCCCGUAACUUCGGGAGAAGGGGUGCUCUAUUAGGGUGCAAGCCCGAGAGAGCCGCAGUGAAUAGGCCCAGGCGACUGUUUAGCAAAAACACAGGUCUCUGCAAAACCGUAAGGUGACGUAUAGGGGCUGACGCCUGCCCGGUGCUGGAAGGUUAAGAGGAGUGCUUAGCUUCGGCGAAGGUACGAAUUGAAGCCCCAGUAAACGGCGGCCGUAACUAUAACGGUCCUAAGGUAGCGAAAUUCCUUGUCGGGUAAGUUCCGACCCGCACGAAAGGCGCAACGAUCUGGGCACUGUCUCAACGAGAGACUCGGUGAAAUUAUAGUACCUGUGAAGAUGCAGGUUACCCGCGACAGGACGGAAAGACCCCGUGGAGCUUUACUGCAACCUGAUAUGGAAUGUUUGUACCGCUUGUACAGGAUAGGUAGGAGCCGAAGAGACGUGUGCGCUAGCAUACGAGGAGGCAAUGGUGGGAUACUACCCUGGCUGUAUGACCAUUCUAACCCGCCACGCUUAGCGCGUGGGGAGACAGUGUCAGGUGGGCAGUUUGACUGGGGCGGUCGCCUCCUAAAGAGUAACGGAGGCGCCCAAAGGUUCCCUCAGAAUGGAUGGAAAUCAUUCGCAGAGUGUAAAGGCACAAGGGAGCUUGACUGCGAGACUGACAAGUCGAGCAGGGACGAAAGUCGGGCUUAGUGAUCCGGUGGUUCCGCAUGGAAGGGCCAUCGCUCAACGGAUAAAAGCUACCCCGGGGAUAACAGGCUUAUCUCCCCCAAGAGUCCACAUCGACGGGGAGGUUUGGCACCUCGAUGUCGGCUCGUCGCAUCCUGGGGCUGUAGUCGGUCCCAAGGGUUGGGCUGUUCGCCCAUUAAAGCGGCACGCGAGCUGGGUUCAGAACGUCGUGAGACAGUUCGGUCCCUAUCCGUCGCGGGCGCAGGAAAUUUGAGAGGAGCUGUCCUUAGUACGAGAGGACCGGGAUGGACACACCGCUGGUGUACCAGUUGUUCCGCCAGGAGCAUCGCUGGGUAGCUAUGUGUGGCAGGGAUAAACGCUGAAAGCAUCUAAGCGUGAAGCCCCCCUCAAGAUGAGAUUUCCCAUUUCUUCGGAAAGUAAGAUCCCUGAAAGAUGAUCAGGUAGAUAGGUUUGGAGUGGAAGUGUAGCGAUACAUGGAGCGGACAAAUACUAAUCGAUCGAGGACUUAACCAAAA
rnacentral:rRNA from 1 species